UGGGGAGUACGGUCGCAAGAUUAAAACUCAAAUGAAUUGACGGGGGGCCGCACAAGCGGUGGAGCAUGUGGNUUAAUUCGAUGCAACGCGAAGAACCUUACCUACUCUUGACAUCCAGAGAACUCGCUAGAGAUAGCUUGNNGCCUUCGGGAACUCUGAGACAGGUGCUGCAUGGCUGUCGUCAGCUCGUGUUGUGAAAUGUUGGGUUAAGUCCCGCAACGAGCGCAACCCUUAUCCUUGUUUGCCAGCACGUAAUGGUGGGAACUCCAGGGAGACUGCCGGUGAUAAACCGGAGGAAGGUGGGGACGACGUCAAGUCAUCAUGGCCCUUACGAGUAGGGCUACACACGUGCUACAAUGGCGCAUACAGAGGGCAGCCAACCAGCGAUGGUGAGCGAAUCCCAAAAAGUGCGUCGUAGUCCGGAUUGGAGUCUGCAACUCGACUCCAUGAAGUCGGAAUCGCUAGUAAUCGUGAAUCAGAAUGUCACGGUGAAUACGUUCCCGGGCCUUGUACACACCGCCCGUCACACCAUGGGAGUGGGCUGCAAAAGAAGUGGGUAGUUAAC
rnacentral:rRNA from 1 species